AGAGUUUGAUCCUGGCUGAGGACGAACGCUGGCAGCGUGCCUAAUACAUGCAAGUCGAACGCUUCUUUCCUCCCGAGUGCUUGCACUCAAUUGGAAAGAGGAGUGGGGGACGGGUGAGUAACACCGUGGGUAACCUACCCUUCAGAGGGGGAUAACACCUUGGAAACAGGUGCUAAUACCGCAUAACAGUUUAUGCCGCAUGGCAUAAAGAGUGAAAGGCGCUUUCGGGUGUCGCUGAUGGAUGGACCCGCGGUGCAUUAGCUAGUUGGUGAGGUAACGGCUCACCAAGGCCACGAUGCAUAGCCGACCUGAGAGGGUGAUCGGCCACACUGGGACUGAGACACGGCCCAGACUCCUACGGGAGGCAGCAGUAGGGAAUCUUCGGCAAUGGACGAAAGUCUGACCGAGCAACGCCGCGUGAGUGAAGAAGGUUUUCGGAUCGUAAAACUCUGUUGUUAGAGAAGAACCAGGACGUUAGUACCUGAACGUCCCCUGACGGUAUCUAACCAGAAAGCCACGGCUAACUACGUGCCAGCAGCCGCGGUAAUACGUAGGUGGCAAGCGUUGUCCGGAUUUAUUGGGCGUAAAGCGAGCGCAGGCGGUUUCUUAAGUCUGAUGUGAAAGCCCCCGGCUCAACCGGGGAGGGUCAUUGGAAACUGGGAGACUUGAGUGCAGAAGAGGAGAGUGGAAUUCCAUGUGUAGCGGUGAAAUGCGUAGAUAUAUGGAGGAACACCAGUGGCGAAGGCGGCUCUCUGGUCUGUAACUGACGCUGAGGCUCGAAAGCGUGGGGAGCCAACAGGAUUAGAUACCCUGGUAGUCCACGCCGUAAACGAUGAGUGCUAAGUGUUGGAGGGUUUCCGCCUUUCAGUGGUGCAGCAAACGCAUUAAGCACUCCGCCUGGGGAGUACGACCGCAAGGUUGAAACUCAAAGGAAUUGACGGGGGCCCGCACAAGCGGUGGAGCAUGUGGUUUAAUUCGAAGCAACGCGAAGAACCUUUACCAGGUCUUGACAUCCUUUGACCACUCUAGAGAUAGAGCUUUCCCUUCGGGGACAAAGUGACAGGUGGUGCAUGGUUGUCGUCAGCUCGUGUCGUGAGAUGUUGGGUUAAGUCCCGCAACGAGCGCAACCCUUAUUGUUAGUUGCCAUCAUUUAGUUGGGCACUCUAGCGAGACUGCCGGUGACAAACCGGAGGAAGGUGGGGAUGACGUCAAAUCAUCAUGCCCCUUAUGACCUGGGCUACACACGUGCUACAAUGGGAAGUACAACGAGUCGCUAGACCGCGAGGUCAUGCAAAUCUCUUAAAGCUUCUCUCAGUUCGGAUUGCAGGCUGCAACUCGCCUGCAUGAAGCCGGAAUCGCUAGUAAUCGCGGAUCAGCACGCCGCGGUGAGUACGUUCCCGGGCCUUGUACACACCGCCCGU
rnacentral:rRNA from 1 species